rnacentral:rRNA from 1 species
CACGUAGUUAGCCGUGGCUUUCUGAUUAGGUACCGUCAAGAUGUGCACAGUUACUUACACAUUUAUUCUUCCCUAAUAACAGAGUUUUACGAGCCGAAACCCUUCAUCACUCACGCGGCGUUGCUCCGUCAGGCUUUCGCCCAUUGCGGAAGAUUCCCUACUGCUGCCUCCCGUAGGAGUCUGGACCGUGUCUCAGUUCCAGUGUGGCCGAUCACCCUCUCAGGUCGGCUACGUAUCGUUGCCUUGGUAAGCCGUUACCUUACCAACUAGCUAAUACGGCGCGGGUCCAUCUAUAAGUGAUAGCAAAACCAUCUUUCACUUUAGAACCAUGCGGUUCCAAAUGUUAUCCGGUAUUAGCUCCGGUUUCCCGAAGUUAUCCCAGUCUUAUAGGUAGGUUACCCACGUGUUACUCACCCGUCCGCCGCUAACGUCAAAGGAGCAAGCUCCUUAUCUGUUCGCUCGACUUGCAUGUAUUAGGCACGCCGCCAGCGUUCAUCCUGAGCCAGGAUCAAACUCU